AAGGUAAAAGGUGGCGAUGCGCCGAAUUAUAUUGAUCGUGAAGAUAGAUUACAUAGACCCUGGGUGUACAUAUUUAUACCCAUGGGUUGAUACAAGUCCUUAUCAGACAAGAAAGAAACUUUCCUAAAGAUAAAAGGAAAAGAUAAAGUCCUUAUCGGACACUAAACACACUUUCCUAAAGAUAAAAGGAAACUAACAAACUAUUCCUAAUUAAUGGAUAACUUGCCAUGCCGCAUUCUCUUUGAACUCGGUCUCUUCUGGAUAAGAUUCCUUUAGUAGAUCAAUUUCCUUAACCGAAUAUAGCAAGAAUCCGACAACUGACGACUUGACAAAUCUCAUCGGCUAAUUUCAGGACUUCAAAGCCGAUGCUGACUCUAAGCCGAUGACUACUCCGGGCUUACCAAAUUUCACUGUUAACAGCGCGUUAGCUGUCCCCCUAGAUUUCUCCUAUCUUAUAAACCGAUUUCAGGGUCAGAUCCCAGGCUUCUAAUUGGGCCACAUGGCAUCUCUUGUGGAGCUCUCCUCCUGAUUCUUGGUUGUAGAAAGUGCCACGUAUACGCACCUAUCCACAGCCGUUAGAUGACGUAUCGAUGGUGAAAAACCGUCCUGUGGACCUAAAUGUAAAUUACAAGUUAUGAGAGGGGUUUUUGUACAAACGUGCGAUCUCAUCUAGAAAAGUUCGAAGUAUUGGAGAAAAAAAUCCCAGAAAACAAUUGCAAGAAAAAAUAGAUUAAUAUCUCCAUCUCCCUACUCACAGUGCCGCAGGCUGCCGCCGGCACGGUGUCACCUGUUUUGGGCGAUGAGGAGAAGGAGGGGGCGAUGGCUGCUCGAUCUACGCGGCCGGAUCCACGGACACACUAUACAGGUACACAAGAACAUCAAGAAUGCAUUAGCAGCACCAACCAGCACGUAUCUUCAGCAACAGAAGGCAAGCAUCUUCGGGAGUGGAUCUGUGGAGGGACAAGAGAAUACAGCCGAGUCGGGAGAUGCACGGGCGCAGUCGGCACUCGUGCGGGGAAGCCGGGGAUGCGCCGGCGACGGUCACCUCCUCGGUCCAGGUCUCCGUCGG
rnacentral:lncRNA from 1 species